rnacentral:tRNA from 1 species
GCGGGUGUAGUUCAAUGGUAGAAUGGCAGCCUUCCAAGCUGCUUGUGUGGGUUCGAUUCCCAUCACCCGCUCCA